rnacentral:tmRNA from 1 species
UUACGCUCCAGCUUACGCAAAAGUAGCGUAAGUUUAUCCAUUUUUGGAGCCGGCUUAAGAUAAGAUUCUAGCGAUUAUUUUGAGCUGUCAUCACAGCUAGAUGCUCUCUUCUUGAUGCCUUAGAGUAGAGAAAAGAUGAAGGUUGCUUGCGGGAUUUGUGUUUUUGGGGUGUUAAACAACCCGUAAAAAGAUUCUUAACACCCGCUAAACAUGUAGAAUCUUAAGAAGACUCAAACUUUUGGACUGGGGUUCAACUCCCCACAGCUCCACCA